CUGAUGGAAGCUCGUAGCGAUACUGACGUGCAAAUCGUUCGUCAAACUUGGGUAUAGGGGCGAAAGACUAAUCGAACCGUCUAGUAGCUGGUUUCUUCCGAAGUUUCUCUCAGGAUAGCUGGAGUUCAAUUAGUUUUAUCAGGUAAAGCGAAUGAUUAGAGGCCUCGGGGGCGCGUUGCCCUCGACCUAUUCUCAAACUUUAAAUGGGUAAGAUCCAGUGGUUACUUUAUUGAACUGCUGGGGUUAAUAUGAACUCCAAGUGG
rnacentral:ncRNA from 1 species